ensembl:lncRNA
AUGGAGUCAGUGUUCCCACAGUUGAGUGGGCAUCUGAACCACCAGAAGGGCUUGUUAAAACUCUGCAUGUUGGGCCCUGUCCCAGAGUUGCUGAGUCAGUAGAUCUGGGGUGGGGCCUGAGAAUCUACAUUCCUAACAAGGUCUCAGGAGCAGCUGAUGCAGCUGGUCCGGGCACCGCAUUUUGAGGCCCACAGUCCAAAGCAACCCUGACGGACACAGGAUCCAGGGUUAGGGGACCAGGCUUCAAGCUUGAUGCUGCUACAAGAGGCUGUGUGGACUCAGAUGAGAAAAUGGAGCAACAAGUUCAUGAAGAUUUAAAAUAAGGCACCUCUGAGAAUUCAAAUCUGUUACCCAGGGCCACCAUGUUGAACACUACCCGGGUUGCACAUUGUAUAACUUUCUGCUGCAUCAUCCACAUAAACUAGGAUUUAAACGGCGCCCCUUGGAUUUGUGCAUCAUGGCAGGCCAUCAUCCAUUCAAAUUAAGAACACGGAAAAGGAUACCGAUGUGUUAAACCACCAAAGAACAUUGAAAACUAGUCUAUUGUUGUAGAUGUGAUUAAGGUGUUUGUGGUGUUAAAGGUAAUACGGCUCUUAAUACUUUGCCUAGAAUUGAAAGUUGAUUUGAAGUUUUAAUAUGGCCGCUGCCCCAAAGAUGAGUCAUUGUUUUAGUUCUAUUCAUAGUGAACAUUUCGUUAUUUUGGAAAAGAACGUAGAGAAGGAAAGAGAAUCAAAGUGGGCUCUACCUCAUAGAGCUGUAAAGACUGGAUCCUUGGUACAGAGCUGUACUCAUGAUGAGCGCUCUGUAAGAAGGAGCUAGCAAAGUUAGUGUUAGCAUGACUUUUGGACUAUUCCAGAAGAUGUAAAGAGAAGAAGGUGGAUAUGAUUCUAGCAUCAAAAUAAAACAGACACGCAGAGUGUUUUCUGAGUUUAACAACCUUAACAAGUUUCUCUAUGCUCAUCUAAAGAAAUAUUGCAUGUCCUCUUCAUCCUUCUUCUUGUGCCUUCUUGCUAACUUUGUCUUUCCACCUUUGCAAUCUUUAUGCCACACACACUACCAAGAAUUACACAUACAGAUGAACAGAUACCAGCGUAAAAACACAGGAAAAGGUAAAGCUCCUUGCCUCUCAGUGACUAGAGGUGUGCCUCUAGGCCCAAGGCUGCAUGUCAUGUUGCUCACGGGCAGGUCAUGUCAGUCCAUUGACAUAUUCAUCAACUCAAUUAUUAAUUCAUUUGCCAAAUAUUUUUAAUGCCUAGUAUAUGCCAUUCCAGUCUCUGAGGAUGUGAUGACAAAUAUGACACAGUCCUUGUCCUUAAGGUGUCCCUAUUAAGUGAAUGAGUUUACAUAAAAACUCUAUAUUUUAUGAAUGGAGAUACAUCAGUAUUCUAGAAAGAAGAUGCAGUAUGUCCCCAUAGUGGCAUCCUUCCACCUAUCCCCCAAAAACCUCUUGACGUAUAUAUCAAAGCAAAAAUAUAUUAAUCAGUAUUUUAGUUGUUUAUUGUAUAAGCACACAUAUUGCCUCUCUCUCAUAUCCUUGUCAUGGAUUAGAAUGACAAGGCUUAAAGCCCAUGGGCUCCAGGUAACUCUCCCCUACCCCCAACUUUCCCUUCAGUCUGCUCUACCUGUUGUGUAGAGUUAGUCUUUCCUAGAGGGUCAUUUAGCCAGAACUCCUGUUUAGAGGAAUGCUGAAAAGAAGGGUAGCAUCGCAGGAACUUAAAUGUAGCGAUUCUUUAAGACUGGAGAGUUAUAUAAGAGUUUCCUUCUCAACUGAAAGAGGAAAGGUCUUUUAGCGGGUGGUGGGGAUAGUGAAAGGUGAACAAUUGCAGAACACAGUCAAUUUAAUUUAACAUGCAUGUCUCACAUCCUAUUCUGUGCAAAGUGCUAUAUUCUUAUGUGAGUAUGAAAGUGACUAUGACCUGCCCUUCCAGGUAGGGUGUUCCUUAACUCUUGGACAUAGGGAGAAAUACACUUGUAAUUUCUAACAAAGUCAGGCAGGUGCUAGUGAAGAGAGAUAACCAUAGCUCAAUCAUCUGGAGAACUGGGAAAGCAAAGGUUAAGUUUAACAAAAAUUAAUGUAUAUAUUCUGAUUUAGGUAAAUAUUAGGGUGUAUCCCUAUUUCUACCUGCUUCCUGUGCCUUCUCUACAAUGGGCUUUACUCUUUAAAUGUUUAAUUAAGAACAUGAGAAAGAAGUGAUAAGACUUGAUAAACAUAUACUGUAUGCAACCACCAUCACAAACACAGCAUAGAACAGUUCCCUCACCCCAAAAUGUCCCCAUGUGCCUAUUUGCAUUGCAGUCCAUACCCUCUCCUCACCCAUUGUCUACUGACAAUCACUUUUAUCACUAUAGUUUUGCCUUUUCUACAACUUCAAAUAAAUGGAAUUAUAGGUAGUCUUUUGUUUCUGGCUUUUUUCUUUCUUUUCUUUUCCUCCCCUCAAAAUCCCCCAGUACAUAAUUGUAUAUUCUAGUUGUAGGUCCUUCUGGUUCUGCUGUGUGGGACACUGCCUUAGCGUGGCUUGAUGAGCAGUACUAGGUCCAUACCCCGGAUCCGAACUGGUGAAACCCCGGGCUGCUGAAGCUGAGCACGGAAACUUAACCACUGGCCAUGGAGCCAGUCCCUGGAUUUUUCACUUAGCAUAAUGCUGUUGAGAUUCAUUCAUGUUGUGAGUAUCUGUAGUUUGAAUUAUUUUAUUGAUGAGUAGUGUUCUGUCGUAUGGAUAUACAAUUUCUUGGCCCAAUCACCAGAUGAUGGACACUUGGGUGCCUUCCACUUUUAGGCCACUGUGAAUAAGAUGCAAUAAAUAUCCAGUUCACAUUUACAUCUUUAUAUGGCCAUAGGUUUUCAUUUCUCUUGGGUCUAGGACUGAGACCUCUGGGUCAUAUGGUAGGUGCACGUUUAACUCUUUGAGAACUUGAUGAACUGUUUUACAAAAUGGCUGUAUCAUUUUGUACUGCUACCAGCAGUGUGUGAGUUCCUGCUGUUUUGCAUCCUUGGCAACAUUUCCUGUUGUUAGCCAUUCAUUUUAGCCAUUCUGUUGCAUGCAUGGUAGUAUCUUAUUGUGGUUUUAAUUUGCAUUUCUCUGAUAUGAAUGUCUUUUCAAGGGCUUGUUUGCUACCCACAUAUAUUCUUUGGUGAAGUGUCUGUUUAAAACAAAUGUAUACAAUAGAAAUUUGUGCUAGACACUUGCUGUGGACCGAUUGUGUCCCCCUCGAAUUCAUAUGUUGAAGUGCUAAGCCCCAGUGAAUCUGUAUUGGAGAUCGGCCCUAUAAGGAGGUAGUCAAGGUUAAAGAAGUCAUAGGGUUGGCCCUAAAAUGAGAGGAUUAGAGUCCUUAUAAGAAGAAACACCAGACAGAUCACUCUCUCCCCCUCUCCAUCACGUGAGGACAUGGUGAGAAGGCAGCCAUCUAUAAGCCAGGCACUGUGCCCUCACCAGAAACUGAAUUGCCUGACACCUUAAUCUUGGAUUUUCCAGCCUCUAGAACUACGAAUAAAUAAAUUUCUGAUGCUUAAGCCACUCCUUAGAGUAUUUUGUCACAGCAGCCUGAGCAGAAUGAUAUAACACUGGAGAAAUUUUGGAGUCUGAAUGCUAUAGAAACUUUUAAGAUAUUGGCAUAAAUAUUAGUGUUAAUCUGAAAAAGAUCCAGAAAUGAAUUCUGAUUCUUCCAAUUACAAGGCAUGUGAAUUUUGGCAAGUUACUUCAUUUAUCAGAGCCUCAGUUUCCUCAUCUGUACAAAUGCAAAUAUUAUAUCUGCUUCCUAGAUUUUCUGGAGAGAAUUAAAUAAAAAAUAUGUCUAGUACACCUAGUGUAGUACCUGGCAUGAGCUGGUGUUCAGUAGAGAACAUUAGGUUCCUCCCUUACCCUAAAACAGCAGUACCUAAACUAAACUCUGCUCCACUGCUUCCUGAAUGCUCUUGGAAUGACUCAGCAGAGAAAGGUUGUGGAUACCUUCAUGUGUAUUUUAUAUAAUAUCCCCAAGAGGUAAUACUGCCUGGGUAGGAGUGUUAGUUUAACCUUCAACCCCAAAUUUAAAAACGGCCUACUUACUUAAUUUUGAACUUACAUCUUCCAGAAGCAAUGAUAGCCACCUUUCCCCUCCCUCAUAGGAGAAAGGUAAAAUAAUUUCACUUAUUUCGUCAUCCAACAAAACUGGAAGGAAGUUUAUUUUUUCCAAUGUACAAAUGGGGAAAAUGAGGCUGAGAAUGGUUAAGGGAACUUCUCAAUGUCACAGAACUAAUAAAUGUCCUACAGGGGACUCAAGUCAGAGGCUGCUUGUUGACAAAGCCCCCAUUCCUUCCCCAGCACCACAGUGUUUGUUGUAAACCUUGAAGGCUGCUUCUGGAAAUGGCUGGAGAAGGAGGGCAAUGUUUCAUGCGUCAGGCCCACAGUCGUGUCCAGCGUGUUUCCUAAGGUGGAUUUUCCACUUGGUCCCUCCUUCCCUUCAGCAGGAAGAUGUGAAACAGCCACAAUUUAGCCCCAGGUGCUCUUGGCUCAGCAGAAGGAGUUCUUGGAAAGCUGGCAUGGAUGUUUCUCUGUCCCACACUUACAGUAAUUACAAAUAAGGGUUACUUUAUGUGGUUGCUCCCACCCUAUAAUCUUGUUUUCAGUUGCCAAGAUUAGUAAAUUUGAGCUUUGAUCACUGGGUUGGAUUGCAAGUCUAGAGUUAUUUUGAUCGUAACUUCUCUGAAUUUCAAAAUUAAUUUUAAAUAUUCAUUGUUGCCAUACAUCAGUUUCAGAAUUUGCUAGCCUGAUUUCAACUAUCCAUCCUCUAUCUCUUUCAGUGGACCUUUGGAAGCCUUUGUGAUUAAGAUCUUUAGUUUUGUUUUUCCUUUUGUUUUUUUUCCUUCUUUUUCUUCCUUCCUUCCUUCUUUCUUUCUUUCUUAUUUUCCUUCCUUCCUCCCUCCCUUUUUUUCUUUUUUUGAAGUCAAGCUGAAUUGAAUUAUGUAAAGACUUAAGAGGCAAUAUUUGCAAAUAGACCUAUAAUUAUCUUAAAAGUAAACGAAAAAGCUAUUUAUACCAGCAGUCACUGAAAUAUACAUGUUUAGAGUGGAAAACAUUAGUAAUAUGGAGAUGAUCCAUAAAAUAAGACGGCAUCUCCAGGUAUUAAGACAGAACUGUAUUAGCUAGAUUUUAAAAGAAAACUUUGAGAUUGAAGAUAUGUGAUAUUCAAUCCCUAUUAAAAGAGCUCUUAAAGUGAAUCCUUAAGCUAUCUUGUAUUUAUCAAGCUCAAAUAAACUGACCAUGGAUUUAACUCUGUGCUAUGGGGUUGCCAGACAAAUAAUCAAGACCUUAAGGCCUGUGAGAAUAAGAUGGUGGCUAGCUUAUCCUUGUUUCUCCAAAGGAUCUGGCACAGAAAAGAUACUUAGUAAAUAUCUGUUGAAUGAAGGCCAAGUUGGUUGCAAAGGUAAAAAUUACAUACGUGAAACGAAUCUUUUGGGACUUUGUGGUGUAUCAGUUAGAAAUGUGCUGGUUGCAGCAGCAGAAAAACCAACAAAAUAAAGUUGCUAAAACUAAAGGGAAUGCAUUGCUUCACAAAAGGCCCAUCCCUAUGGCCUUGUGGAUAAAACCCGGCAACUGGCUUAGCCCUAGUCUUGUGCUCCGACUCUUGAGCCAGCUUGUGGCAUCAAGUCCCCUAGAACAAGUUGGGGGAUGGAAAGAAGAAGGAAGUGUGCUGGAUGACAAAGACAAGAAAUCUCGAAGUGCAUGCCGGGGGUAUGUUGAGUGCUGCAAUUCUUCAAAGAGGCGGAGGGCAUCUGGGUGGAUGUGAUGAGAAUACUUUACAGAGAGGCCAUAUUUGUGUCUGGUACAUAGACUGAAUUUAUGUAAUUUUACAAUAAAGUAAGAUAAAGUUAUUUUGCAAGAACUUUGACAGAAACUUGGAAAAUCAAAAAAAGCAAAUAAAAAUUUUACUGUAAGGUACAUGUAACCACCACUGUUAUUUGACAUAUUUACUUGUACUUAAAAAUUCAUGCUAAUAUAUACAAGUAAAAUAACAUAUGUAAUGUGUGUAUGUAUAUGCAUAAACAUAUGCUUAUAUAAUUAGGAUCGUAACAUAAUUCUAUUUGUUUAUAUUACCUAAUUAGGAUCAAGGUAUAUAUACAUUUUUUGGUGCUACUUUUUCACUUAAUAUUAUAUUUAGGAAUUUUCUUAAUUCAUUGACAAUUCUUCUAAAAUUAUUUUUGAUUGUUGAAUUACAUAAUCUAUAGAAAUUAAGAAGUAGGGAGGAUAAGAGACGCAAAGAAAACUUAGGGCAUUUUCAUGGGAUAUUACAUAGUCUUGUGGAGAAAGAUAUAAUUUGGAGAGAUAGAAUGAACCCUAAAGUUAGGCAAAAAGAUAAAGUGGGUUCUUGAAAAUCAAGUAGAGAAGUUUAGAUUUGAUACUGUAGGAAAAGGAAAAUCUUCAAAGUUUUUUCCUCAGAGGUUCUUAUGAUUUGAGUUAAGCUAACAGUAGGUUAAUCAGCCAAAAUUAUUCAGGAUCAAUAUGAGGAAGCACAUAGAUUUUUUAUUUUGAGAUCAGAAAGAGAAGGGAAUUAAAGCAUGUUGCUUUCCCACUUUCCCACUGUGUGCCACGCACCAUGCUAGAUGUCCUAUGUAAGAAACACAACAUGUGUUCUCCCAUAGGAUGGGAGAAUUGAGCAAUGCUGUGUUCAAAUCCCGUAUCUGCCACAUCUAGUGUGAUCUAGGGUGUAGGACUUAACUUCUCUGAGCAUGAGUCUCUUCACUUGAAAACAGGGAUGGUAAAGCUUACGUCACAGAACUGUGGUGAAUUCUGAAUAGCAUAUGUAACAUGCUUUGUACAGCAUGCACAAAAAUAAUGCCUAUUUGUCUUCCUUUUCCUCCACAAAUGAUGAUGGGAUAUGACAGGAAAAAUGGUUCUCAAAGUUGGCUUCACAAUGGAAUUUGACUGGCUUUAAAACCCACUGAUGUCUGAGCCCCACAUCAGAGGUCUGUGGGAGUGUGGAAGACUUGAAAAUCUUCCCAGGUGAUUCUAAUGCGCAUUCAAGAUUGAGAAACUCUGGACCAAAAGUUCAAGGAAAGAACAAAUCCCACACAGUUUAUGUGGGGAGUUGGUAAGAUAUCAGAAUUAAAAAUUCACAGAAUAAAUUAUCACUGUGGAAUGGCUAAGGCAGUCAGACGGAAAAUUGCCGUUGGCUGAGUUUACUCUGCAUCUCUGUAACAUUUCUUAGCAGUGCACCCUGACCAAGGAGAAGGAUGACGGAAGGCCAAUGGUGGAUGUGUUCCCUAUCUGAGAACACCACAGAAGGUCAGAGCCUUACCAUUCUCUAUGCUGUGGUAUGAUUACUUACCUACCUGUGCAACAACUUGAUGGUAGGGAAGUUACCCAGGAAGUAACACCUAAUAAAUUGACCAAGAACAUAAUUACAGUGGCAGGCCCAGUCAUGUAGUGGUUUAGUUCAUGCACCUGCUUCUGUGGCCCAGGGUUCAUGGGUUCAGAUCCCAGGCGUGGACCUACACAGUGCUCAUUAAGCCAUGCUGUGGUGGCAUCCCACAUACAAAACAAAGGAAGAUUGGCACAGGUGUUAGCUCAGUGACAAUCUUCCUCAAGCAAAAAAAAAAAAAACCCAAAACAGGAAGAUUGGCAACAGAUGUUAGCUCAGGACCAAUCUUCCUCACCAAAAAAAAAAAAAAAAAAGAGCAGAAGUGUAUUUAAUUCAGAUGGACAACACAACCAGCAUGCCCAAGAAAAGUCUUGAACUUUUGAAGGGUCUCUCCCUGGAGCUCAGUCUGUCCGAUAGCCUUGACUCGCCAAUGAGUCUCCUUCACAGGCACUGUGACCUUCACCAAGGGCCUUGUAUAAACGGUGAAGUAGGGAGGCCAAUCAUGCCCCCACCUUCCAGACAAGCGGAGUCAGUCCUGGCAACCAAAGAGAUGGCAGAAUCCAUUGCCAAAAUGCCUCAUAGCCAAGAGCAGCAAAGCAUCUAGAAGAUCCAGAUAUUAGUCUCAAUUCUUCACUCUCUAUAACACCCUGCAAAAUUCACUUCACUUAUCUGGCCCUGAUUUCCUCAACUAUAACACAAGAAGGUGGAAUACAUGACCCUGUGGGCUUCCACCGGCUUUUCAAAAUGAAGAGCAGGUGAGGGUAGACAUGCAAACAAGGCUCCUUGCAGAGAAAGAUCCCUGAACAUUAGAGAUGCUUACUAAGUACUUCUUCGUGGAGGAAUCAAUGCCUUUAUUCUCAGUGAGUCUCCCCGUCUCUCCUCUUACUUAGGUGCAUCUGGAAGCCAGUCGAGUAUUGUGGCUUCACAGCUUGCGUGGAACUUCUCGUUCUCUCACUGAUGAGCUGUGGAACUUUCAGCAAAUUAGCUAAUGUCCCUGUGCUUCUGUUUCCUCAUCAGUGAUCUGGACAUCAUUACAUCCCACAGCAUCUCAGCGGCACUAUGAAGCUGUGUGAGUCAAGGCAGACAGAAUGCCUCACGCAGCGAUGGGCACGUAAGUCUUAGGCCCUCUAUCAUGCAGGUUCUCAAAAUCUAUCUUUUCUGUGUCUGUGUUUCUACCUUUACAAAAUUGCAUCAUAACAUACUAGUUAUCUAUAUCAUAACUAUUUUGUCCUUUCUGGAAAAUAUUUCUUUCCUAAUGCCUACAAGAAAGCUGAACACACAGUGAAGGUACUGUGAUACUGAUCAUAGCAAUGACAUGGCCGGAAAGGCCAAGAUUUCUGCCUUGCAGAGAACAGGAUCCAGACAAAGUCGUGCAGGAGUUCUGCUGUGGACCUACUGCAAGACUUGGAGGAGUCAAGUAACUAUCUCAGUAUUCCAGAAUGUUAAUGUUAAAAUGGGAGCAACAAGCAUUUUGAGGAGUAAUGUCAAUGAAGAGUGAUGCUUCUUACAUAGCUAGAAAGACAGAAGUAUAAAUUAUUAAUGCAUUUGAUAAAGAUUUCUUAAAAGAUCAAACUCCAAGUCUUUUCUUCCAAGUCUUUAAAGCCUUUUUCUGCACUGGGGGAUUUUUCACUUACUGCUGGCAAGUCCUCAAGGUGAUUUGAGAAAGGCAUCUUGCAGACUGGGAGGCGGAGAAGUCUGCCUCACCCCCAUCAGCCCCGUGAGCUGCGACUGCAAGCACACGUGCACGCGCACACACACACACACACAAUCCUUCAAGAAAAUGAAUGACUGAACGUGGGGCUCACAUGCGUCUUUGCAGGCACCAUCCUAGUGACCCCAGAUCCUUCACACGUCUAAGUCCUACACAGAAAGGAGUAGCGGCUGUCCAAGGCUUCCAGCAGGUGCGGAGGAGGGUCUCCCACACUGCACAUCCUGAGCCCGGUUCCCCUUCCAUUUAUUUCCGUGGCACUGACUAUGUGUGCAGCGAGCCGUGCUGCAGCGGAGAUACCCCAGAGAAAGAGGAAACCCGUUGAGCUAUUUUUCACCAUUACAUACUUCACUUCCUAAUAAAUGAGAUCCAGAGCAUGCAAACAGCCAGUCUUGUAGGUCAUCAUCUUAGGGAAAAUCACAGACCUAACGCAGCACAAAGCAAAAAAUAAAUAAACCCAGAGGAGAGCCAUUCUGGAGAAAUUUGAUACCAUAAUUCUCUUCUCAUAGCAUUCUGUCCCUCCCUAGAAGGUUUUGUGCCUUGGAGAUCUAUCAGGGCUCUAAGGGUGGUUGAAAAAUAAAAAAGUGCUAGAUCUUUCUCUGUCCUCAUGCCAGCUUAUUUUCCCCAGCAGAAAGAGAUUUAUUUAUAUGUAAGAGCAGACAAGUUGAGACCAAGUCAUAUUUCACCUGAUUCAAGCCGUGUGAUCACUGAUCGGUAAGGGGCAUGACUUAUGAGGGUUUUAUCAGCUACCUAUGCCAAGCAGCACAUCAGAAUCUGUAUUUCAGGGCUGUAACAGUGCUGGAGUAAGUGGGCACGUGACAUGCCCAUCCUUGCCCAGCAGAGCUCAUGGAUUCUCUGGCGCCUUGGCUUUUGGUGGCCUUUUCCAGUCUCUGGGCUUUUCCUUGUUCCUUCAGAGGAAAAGCCCACAUUUAGAUGCAACUUUGAAAGUUGAGGUCACGAGCACUGCUCGCUGUGUCAACUCAGGGAAUCAGUGGACAGUAAUGCAAUCUCCCCAUGUUCACCAGGGAAUAUAAUAUUUCACACAGAAAAUAGCAAAAUACUCCCACGGCCCCGGGACAAUAUCCUGAAGUUGUUUGAGGUGAAAGAAAAUAACUGUCUUUGGGGCAAAAGAAUUUAGACUCUUUAGCAGCAAACUUUUGUUGCCUUUUGUCUGACACCAUCUGAAUAUUUAUUCAGGUCUAUUCCAGGUUAGAAAAGGGAAUGGCUCUCGCGCACAAUCUUGUGAGAUUUCUUUGCCCAUUUUUUGUUGGCCCUAAAGCCAUCUGAGAUGAUAAAUGAGGCUUUUCUGGCCAAAGGCUUGCAAUUUCCUAUUAUAUUUUAAAACGACACCUGGUGGAUCUCUAAGCCUCUGGAAAAUUCUCAAUGCUCUGUCCUCUUAUUUGGACAGUCCUAGGGGAAAAGAGAGAAGAUCAAGCUAGGUCUUAAUUUCUGAGUAUUAUCUGUUCGUGGAUGCUAAUAUUCAGAGAAAUGGAAAGCAGCUACUCUCCUGGUUAAGGGAACUAGUAGAGGAAAGCCCACUAUCUAAACUAUGUGUGAACUGGUUCCCAGUUUUUUUCAGUGGCUAAAACACUAUCCCUCCUAACAACUAAGCUUCAUUUACCCUUUUAUAAAAUAUAAGUACUAGAGGGAUGUGUGAGACUUUAAUUCCUUAAAAAUGUCACAUCCUUUUCCUCCCCAGCUGAAGUGACCCAGACAGCUUGAGGGUGAGAGAAGAGAGUGAAAAGGAAGCCGAAACAAGAGCACUAGGCCACCAUUUCUCUCUUAUGCCAUCUUGAUACUUGCCGCGAUGCUGAGGGAUGUGGAAGGAAAAUCAACCAACUGCAAUUCAAGAGACGGGGGUCGAGAUGUACAUGAUUCUACAGAAGUCAUCCAACAGUUCCGAGUUCUACUCUUCUAUGUAAAAUAGUGAAAUGAUAUUUACGCUUUCUAAGUCUUGAGCUUGUUAGGGGGAAGAUUUGGGCAGACUCUGUUUCACAGCUCCUGGUCACAGGGCAGCCAUGACAGUUCUGUCUUUGCUUUGGUUUAAUAGGAACACGUGACUUCUAGCCAAUGGAAUGUUAGUGGAAGGAUGUGUCGGAUAAAAAUCUCUGAUGAGUGAUCCUCCAUGCUGAUUUCCCAAAUGCCAACCGAAUGUAGAGGUUUCCAAGGCCUAAGAGGAGGACAGAAUCACGCAAUAGGAGUCUGGACCCUCAAAUUGCCAUGAGGAAGGCUGUGUUCGAACCAAGAACACCUGUGUGGGACUUUACAGAAGUAAAAAUAAACUUUUUUGUAUGUUAAGUCACUGAAGUUUCAUGGUUUGUUUAUUACAGCACUUAGUAUUACCCUAAUUAAUGCGAGGAUCAAGUGGGGAAAAAAUGGAUUUAAAAACAUUAUGCAAACUCUAAAAUACUGUACAGAUUUAAGGGUUUUUACUGGCUUUGGUUGUGUAAAGUCUUGGGAGUAAGUGCUAAAGUUAUGUUGAAAUAAAAUACUAUUAACAGAUAUUUAUUCAAUGCUUACUAGAGGAUGCAAAUCUUAUGUAGCUUAUCUAAUUUGUUCCUCUUGGCCACCUUAAGUAGAUGUCUUUCUUUAUUGUCAUUUUUACAGUUGAAGAAAGUAAACUUCAGAGAAAUGAAGUCACUUACCUGAAAUCAUACAACUACCAAGGGCUGAGGGCUUUCAUUAAAGUUUUAUUUUUUUGUUUUCCAAAUCUACUUUUGCACCCUAUUAUAGUAUUCAAAAAUUUUAAACUUCUUCUAGAAGAAAGCCAGACUGUUUAUUCUACUCCCUCUAUACCAAAGGAACAGCAGAUAGAUGUGCACAUGGAACAUUCUGUUCAUUCCAAUAAGUCUGAAAAUCCUGAUGUUGGAGAUGACAUUCUUUGAAGUCGUUUUCCAAGUGUAGGCAGCUACUUUUCACUCAAAACUAUGCAGUUCAAGUAAUUGAGUUCUCAAUUUUCUUGCAUUAAAAGUAACCUAGGGCGGCCAAAACCUUGGGUAGAUGAAGGGUUUUCCCCCCUCUUCUGUUUUCCUCAAGCUUCAAAAAUGCACUUGCCAAAAUAAUGUGAUUUGAGCUGCUCUUUAAAUAUUUUUACCAGGUGAGGAAUUGCUGGUACAUUCCAUCUUGUCAGUAAUGAUUUCACAUUUGUCACUCUCAUCGGGUAGACUGUCCACGGACUGCGGACCAUUUUCACACUCAUUUUGGAUACUGUUUGGUGUUAUUUUCAUUCAAGGGCAGGCUUGGAACCAAGCAGAUUAUUUCAUAGACUUGGAAACUAUAGGGGGAUGUAACGAAUCUUAGCCUUGAUCUGGGGCAUUUCUGAUGCAAAGCUUUGUCUAUCAAAAAAAUCUGCUCAUUAUAUAACCAAAGAGUGAGGGGACUUGACCAUUUCCCUCUGGUUCAGAGACCCAAGCCUCAUCCCUUUGUCCACAGGUAGUUGUAGAUGCCUUCCUCUGACUUGAGAAUUCUGGCUUGCUUAAACUUUCUGCUGUUCAGAUAAAAAACAGCAGCAAUUUUCUGCUUGAAUUUCUCUGUGACUAAGUCCAUUGAUCAUCCUUUCUCUCUGUGAGUGAGAAGUGUGUUUUCUCCUUAAUAACUCCUAUCCUUCUCCCUGGAUUUUUUUUUUCCCCCUUCGCUUGUUUGUGUUGUGUUGGUCAGUCCUACGCGCUAUUCCUCUGAGAGACAGAGAGCGCGCAAAAUUGAAGUUAUUUUAUGCUUGGGCUCCCUCGGUCCCAAUUUUCAAAUCUUCAUGUCAAUUUUCACACAUCAGUGUCAUGUGGUGAAUGUUAUGGAAAUUUCAGUGGGGUCCUUGGGAGGAAAUUUAUACACGGAUCCCUCCCCCACAACACUAUCCGGCUGCAAUUCCUGUCUUUUCUAAGAAUAAGUGGAUCUAUAAUUAAUGUGGAUUUUAAAAUAUAACGGCAUUCAGAAUUCUCAUAGCAGGUUUUCGACGCCAUGUCUUCUUUGCAGUAUAAACACAAAAGCAUAAAUGCUUGCUAGCUCUCUCUCCUAAUAAAUGGGCUUGUGUAAAAGGAAUAAAAAUUACAGUUUGUUGGCUGUAAAGAGCAACUAAUUACUCAGGAAGAAGCAUGUUUUUAUUUUUCAAAACUGCACUGAAAAUGGUUUAUCAUGCAAUAAAUUUGCUAAUCACCAGUUAGGAAACACAGCGCCAUCACCACCUACCCACAGCGGCUUCCUUUGAAAGUUGGUAUGUUACAGUUUGGAUAGGAAAUUAUAUCCUUUUGAAAAUGAACAUGACAGAAGACGUUCACUGAAUAGCUUAAAACUCCUCAGCAGUCAGAAUUCAAACUGCAUAAACAAGAGUGUGGAUAUUGGUGCCAACAGACAGCAACUACUGACCUUGGAUUUGCUUGGUGAGCAGACCACCCAGGACCCCUUCUCAUGAAGACAGGUAUUCAUUUCCUUUUGCUCUUUCCCUUUUAACAGUGAAAGUGGAAGACCCCCAAAUGAAGAAUACAAGGUUGGCCUUAAUUUUUUCACUUUCCUUUUCUUCAGCCCCUCGCCAUCCUAUAAAUGUUAAUUUCUUAUAGAUUUGCCUUACAUUUUUCCAGAAGAACCUGGAGAACUGUCUUCUCAUCCAGAACUGUAGGAGUCCAGCUUGAUGAACUUGAAACCAUACAAACCAGUAACAGGAAUAUCUUAUCCCUGCUGCUGGCCCACUCUCUUGCUUCGAAGGUACUUGGCAAUGACUUUCGUAUUGUUCUCCCCAGAAAGGACAUCCAUGGACAUCCUCAUCAAUGAUCAUUGCUGUCUUCCCCUGUCUCCAUGUUUUUCUUGCCAUUACUCUGUCAUAUUUCCUUCUAAGACUUCUUAAUAUUAAAAAUUAUCUCAUUGAUUUGUGUGUUUAUUGACUUAUUAUCUGGUUCGCCACUGGCAGGUACCUUCAGUGAAAGAGGAAACCUUGUGUUCUUUUUGUUGUUGUUGUUGUUUUUUGAGGAAGAUUAGCCCUGAGCUAACUGCUGCCAAUCCUCUUCUUUUCGCUGAGGAAGGCUGGCCCUGAGCUAACAUCAAUGCCCAUCUUCCUCUACUUUAUAUGUGGGAUGCCUACCACAGCAUGGCGUGCCAAGCAAUGCUGUGUCCACACCCGUGAUAUGAACUGGCGAACCCCAGGCUGCUGAAGUGGAACGUGUGCACUUAACUGCUGUGCCACUGGGCUGCUCCCGAAACAUUCUGUUUUGAUCAGCUCAGUAUCACCAGAUCUUGGUCAGACGUCGGGCACAGAGUAAUUUUCAAUGUAUACUGAAGGGUUCAACAAAUGAAUGAAUGAAUGAAUGGACAUUUUGGUUUUUCAUCCCUACCUCAAAAAGCACAGCAUUCAUUAACCAUGAUGUAGCUGACUUGCCACCCCUCAAACAUAGGGGUAUCUAGAGGUAAGGCACCUUUGGGUUUAAAAGUUGGGAGGAGGUGUUUGUUUAAGCUUUCCUUUUGACUAGAAGGAAGGAACAGUAAAUUUUGUGGUCAACUUUCCUUUCUUUGGAGAAAAUGCAUUGUGUGGGAAGCUGGUUAUUAGGUCUGAUUGGUGGAAGGUCACCAGGUCACCAGCCCUGGCUUGCAAUGGCCUGGUGUCUAAGGAGAAGACACUCACAGGCCAGGAGACUCCAGUGGCAGCACUCCCACCGGUGGCCCCACACAAUGGAGUCUUGGAUCAGUACCUUUCUUAGAUGUACAACUGUGAGCAACUCACUCAAUUUCUUCAGUUCUCAGUUGUCUUGCCUGAAAAUCACCAUAUAACCCCCUACCUCACCUAGAGUUAUUAGAAUUAAAUAAAAACACGUGUCCAACACUAUUUUGUAAACUACUGAGGGCCAUACAAAUAUUUUGGCUGGUUUGAUAUAGAAGAAAUGGUCAAGGAUAUAUUAAAAAUGAAAAGACUGUUCUUUUGUGUGACAAUUUUUGUCCCGUCUGUACUAUAAGAAAGAUAGGUAAGAAAGUCACCAUUUUAUAGAUCAAUAAACUGAGGACUAGGGAAGCUGUGUCAUGCUUAGCAUCAUAGAUAAUACUGUCUAUCUUUGCAUCUGGAACAGGCCCCAGAUCUCUAGAUGAUUAGUGCGGUAAUUUUGUUUCUAGAUGGUUGCAGUAAUUUCUGGUUCUCUUUCCACAGGAGCUGUCGCUGGGGGCACUGGUUCAUCAGAGCAAUGCUGUGGUUGGGUCUUGGGCCUGAGAGUCGAUCAGCCAAGUUAACAGGUUUGGCUUGACAUGGCCGAGUCGGAGGACAAGCACACAUCUGAGUCCAGAAGAAAAGCAUCAAGAACAACUCUAAAUUCAAGGACAAACUUGGAUCAGGAAUGGCAAAUCAAGUCAAAUACUAGAGUCCGGAAGAAGGUAUUUUUAGAAAGAGAGGCAGACAGAAUAGCCAGGACAAUGCAAAGAGGGUCCAGAACUUUCCACAUCAAUAACCCUGAGAUGCCCCAACAUUGCGGUUGCGGGUAUGGUAGGCUAUAUAUUGAAUAAGUGGCCCAGGCUGAUCCAAAGGUAUGGGGCAGCAAUAGGAACUAUGCUUCUCCAUAGAUUCUUCCAUAAAGACAGGAGCCUUUUAUUAGUUUGAGGGGCUUCCUGUAGUAAAAGAGUUAUGGGAGAGGCAGUAGCAAAGACACACCCCUUGACCACAAUGUUGCCCCCACCCCAAAGGAAGACUUUCCUAGAGUGGAUUUGAUGUCUAUGGACAUAACCUGAAAAAGACAAAUCGUUUUGGGAAACACUAGUUUGAAGAAAAUUAGAUGCAGGAUUUCUCAGAGCCUUUAAUAGUUUAAUACUCAUUUAAUAAUAAUUGUGGCCAUUAAACAGGCUCCUUGAAUUUUGAAGAGUAGUUCACCGACGGAUUUCGCGAAGAGUGUGUGGUAUUUCCUAAAUGCACUUCAACACCAACACACAUAUUUUUCUAGAAUCUCUUGAUAGAGUAGUGUUCCACAGGAUGUAGUUUGCUCACGUUGGUCUAGGUAACCUGUUACACCGAUUUAGGUAACUUUUUUGUAUACGGUGAAUGAAGUCACACUGCAGUUAUUGUUUUUCCUUUUUAACUCAUUUCAUCAUUACCGUCAUUAGGCUGCAGUCCAUUUAACCCUUUGAUUCAUUGUUUCUCUGUGAAGUGUAGGCAGCUUCACGGCGACAGAAAAAAUAGGACAGAGAGAGAAUCAUGUCUCAGGGUCAAAGUAGGCGUAUUGAUCUACCUAGAGCUAUUCUGGAAUGUUUCUGUUUCCUGUUCUCAUUUACACUCAGAGAAGUCUUCACGGUCCAAUGGGUGAAACUCGGUUAAAAUGUGAUAGAUUCUUUUGAUUUUAUAGGAUCAAAGAGGCUUUCUACUCAUUAAACUUCUCACAGUAACAUUCUUUCUUAAGUCUGUUUUCAAAUUUAAGAGCUCAGGGGAAUGGAGUUUGCUGAAAGUCUAUCAUUUAGAGAAUAUCGAAGCUGCAUUACAUUAUGUCAAGUUCAGUCUUCCCAUUGCUCCAUUUUGAUUCUCCUCCUAUGUAAUUAUUGCUUGGAGAACAAGCAACUGACCUUUUCCUCCUUUCCUGUUUCAGCACAAAAAGAUGGAAUUAAUCCUUUUACAUGAAAUUAGAACUGUGAAUUCUAAGACCCUAAUCCAAAAUGUCCCUGUCUUGAUUAUGGUUUCUCACUGCAGUUUUCUCUUUUGUAGAAUGGAACGAAGUCUUCUUACCUGGAAAAAAUGGAUAAAAUGAAAAUAAAUAAACAACAUGUGGGCUUUCAUUUAUGUUUUCCUUUGUGUUCUGCAAAACUAAUGGAAACUUCAAAUGAAUGUUUUUCUCAGGUCAAUUAUCAGUAACAAUAAUGGGACACAGUAUAGUGUGAUAUUUAAGUGGAACACAUUCUAGAAUCUGAUUACCUGGGUCCGCACUGUGCCCCAGAAGAUUUUGCACAUGCAAAAUCGAACCUCUCUGGGCCUCAGUUUCCUUCUCUCUAAGAUGAGGUUGUAGUCAUAAUCCUUAUCUCCUAUUGUAAGAUUUAAAGAUAAUCCACAUAAAGCAAUUAGGGACAGUUAAGCACUCAACAAUAUUAGCUAUCAUCACUACCAUCUGUACUUUUAAGUUUCACUUACCAGUUUUUUCUACUAGAAGUUUACGAAAUCCAAACAUGUAGAAAUAUGUAGGUAGCCCCCUUGAGCAUUAAAAUACUUGUGUUGUUGUUGUUGUUGUUAGAGAACACAGACGUACAAAUGUAACAUUUUUUCCUCUAACCUAAUUAUCUGUUGACUCAAUAAAUGAAUUCAUCAAUUCAACCUCUUAUUUCAGAUCCUUUGCAAAGAGAAUAUCAUGUGCCUGUGCCCUAUGAACUUUUUCUUUCUUCUUUUGUUUUCUUCUCUGAUGAGCUACAAAUCAGGACAAAUGUAGUAGGUGUCAGAAAUAAUUUACCUACAUGUGUGUAAUGAGUUUGGACAAACGCAUGAGCAACAUAUCUCUUUCUUCCACAUGGGAGGACCAGCACCAGGUCCUUCUUUCCAGCUGGAAGGGCUCAUGAACUGCUAGCUUUGCGGGUUCAGCUUGACAUCUCCACUUCCAGGCCAGCUAGUAGUCAC